rnacentral:rRNA from 1 species
GUAGGGAAUAUUGCGCAAUGGACGAAAGUCUGACGCAGCGACGCCGCGUGAGUGAUGAAGGCCUUAGGGUCGUAAAGCUCUGUUGAAUGGGAAGAAAAAAAUGACGGUACCAUUCGAGGAAGGACCGGCUAACUUCGUGCCAGCAGCCGCGGUAAUACGAGGGGUCCUAGCGUUGUUCGGAAUCAUUGGGCGUAAAGGGUGUGUAGGUGGCCAUGUAAGUCAGGUGUGAAAGCCCCGGGCUCAACCCGGGAAGUGCACUUGAUACUGCGUGGCUUGAGUACCGAAGAGGGUAGUGGAAUUCCAGGUGUAGUGGUGAAAUACGUAGAUAUCUGGAGGAACACCGGUGGCGAAGGCGGCUACCUGGUCGAGUACUGACACUGAGACACGAAAGCGUGGGGAUCAAACAGGAUUAGAAACCCGUGUAGUCC